CAAGGGAUAUUUGAAGAAGUAUUACAUGGUGACCUAGACUUUUCAACAAACCCAUGGCCUAGUAUUUCUAAAGGUGCCAAAUAUUUAGUAAGGAAAAUGCUUAUUCGAGAUCCCAAAAGGUGGAUAUCUGCACAUGAUGUUUUGUACAUAUGAAAGAUCCUGUAUUCAAAAGUGGAUAGACAUACCUGGCAGUACCAGGGAUUGCGUGUCCUCGUCCAGUAACAGGUCUACUCUAGUUAUCCAUUUUCUCAAGUAGGACUAGUUAUUUUUAUUUUUUAAUAUAAUGAAGAAAUCUACUUUUAGGUUGGUGAUUUAUGGCUUGUUCGGAGAUUCAAAUGGCUGUAAAGAAUGAAGAUUAUGUAACUAUAUGGGUGUCUAAGAUAUGGAAAGACAGUAACUUAACAUUUUCAGUAUGCGACUUCUAGGGGCUUAGAAACUUUAUCAAUGAAGGGGUUGACAUUAAAUUGCAUGGACCGUAAAUCUGAAGCAUAUGAGCUUGUUCGGCAAGGAUUAAAGAAUGAUCUUAAAAGUCAUGUAUGCUGGCAUGUUUAUGGUCUUCUUUAUCGGUCCGAUAGAGAAUACAGGGAGGCAAUCAAAUUCUAUAGAAAUGCACUGAGGAUCUAUCCAGACAAUA